GCCAGGCAUCUCUGCAGAAGGUCAACGAGGUGGUUAAGAAGGCUUAUGGAAAGCUCGUUUUUAUUUGUCAAGGCAUUGAGUGCAAAAGACUGGAGGUUAUGUUGCAAAGUUAUAAAAGUCUGGUUUGGCCACAUCUGGAGUAUUGUGACCCUUCUGGUCGCCCCACUAUAGGAGGGAGUUGAGGCUCUGGAGAGGGUGCAGAGGAGGUUCGCCUGGUUUAGAGGGCAUGUGAGAAACUGAAUAAACUUGGGUUGCUUUCUCUGCGGCAGUGGAAGCUGACAGAAGAUCUGAAUGAGGUUUGUACGAUUAUGAGAGGCAUCGAUAGGGAGCAACUUUUUCACAGGUUUGAAAUGUCUAAUACCAGAGGGCAUGCACUGAAGUGAGAAGAUUAGGUUCGAAGAGGAUGUCAGGGGUAAGUUUUCUAUUCAGAGAGUCACGGAUGUGGUAUGGUGGUAGAGACAAAUACAUGGAUGGUUUUAAAGAGAUGUUUGGGUAGCCAAAUGGAUUACGGAAGAUGGAGAGACAUUGACAUGGUGUAAGUAGGAGGGAUUAGUGUGUUUCUGUGUUUUUGAUUUGCUCUUUAGCUGGUUCAGCACAAAAUUGCGGGCCGAAUGGCUUGUUCCUGUACUGUACUGUUCUAUGACUAGCUGGAAGGUGAUAGGUGAAGCUGGCUGGGUGGGAAAGGAAGCUAUGUCUCCCCACCCCCCACCCCCAGGCCAUCUUUUUAACUCUGACAUCUUCCCCCUUUUUUUCUGGUGCUGAAGAAGUUCUCAGAAAUAUCAAUUGUUCAGUUCCAUGGAUACUGCCUGACCUGCUGAGUUCCUCCAGCCUUUUCCUGUAUGUUGCUUUGGACUUCCAGCAUCUGCAAAACCUCUCCUGUUUACCAGAAUCAAGUUUAAUAACACUGGCAUAUGUCACGAAAUUUGUUGUCUUUGCAGUACAAUGCCAUACAUAAUAGAGAAAAAAACUGAAUUACAGUAAGUAUAUACAUUAAAGUUAAAUAAGUAAUGUAAAAAUAGAAACAAUAGAAGUAGUGAGGUUGUGUUCAUGGGUUCAAUGUCCAUUCAGAAAUCUGUUGGCGGAGGGGGAAAAGCUGUCCCUGAAUCGUUGAGUGUGGGUCUUCAGGCUCCUGGCACAGAGGUUUACUGAGGCUACUGGGAAGAGCUUAAACUAGAAUUGCUGGGAACCGAACUGAAGAGACGGAGAAAGGGAUGGUUGUCUCACAAAUAGAGAAAGCUUGUAGGCAGUGUGAGAGGGAGGACAGGCAGGUGAUAGAGAAGGGAUGCGCUCAGAUUGAAGGUGAGCUGUGCCUGUUUUAAUGCAAAGAGCAUCAUGAACAGAAGAGCUUAGAGCAUGGAUCAGUACUUGGAGAUAUGAUGUGGUGGCCAUUGCAGAGACUUGGAUGGCUCAGGGGCAGGAAUGGCUACUUAAGAGUGCCAGGCUUUAGAUGUUUCACAAAGGUCAGGGAGGGAGGCAAAAAAGGUGGAGGGGGUGGCGCGGAUGACUAGAGAUAAUUUCAGUGCUGCAGUAAAGGAGGAAGUCAUGGAGGGAUUAUCUAUUGAGUCACUGUGGGUGGAAGUUAAAAACAGGAAGGAGUCAAUAACUCUACUGGGUGUUUUUUUCAUAGACCACUCAACAGUAACAGCGACAUCAAGGAUCAGAUAGGGAGACAGAUUCUGGAAUGGUGCAGUAAUAAUAGGGUUGUCGUGAUGGGGGAUUUUAAUUUCCCAAAACUGAUUGGCAUCUCCCUAGAGCAAGGGGUUUAGACAGAGUGGAGUUUGUUCAGAAAGGUUUCCUGACACCACUUCUUCGGUUAUCCAUCGACUUUGACGUUGACUGCGCUGAGAGUUUAGUCUCUGCAGGCACGUUUAUGGGCCACAAGACCGGCAUUGGAUCGGCGCUGUCUCCCACAUCUGUUGCAUUUCUGAUUUGACUGGUCUAGCACCGACUGUCUGCGUUCAUGACCUGCUUCAUAUUUCUUCUGCCUUUUCUCCUCGAUAACUGGGAUUGACUUCUUGACAAUGCAGCGCCAACUUCUUCUGUCCGAAGCAUCUUUGACAUCCAUGUCAGUGUUCUUCAUAUGACGCUUGAGCACAUCUUAGUAGCGCAGCUUCUGACCACCACGCUUCCUCUUUCCUUCAUGUAGCUCGCCACAGAAAACAGCUCUGGGUAAACUAUUUCCUGACACAGUACGUAGGUAAGUCUACAAGAGGAGAGGCUGUACUUCAUCUGGUACUGGGAAAUUACCCUGGUCAGAUGUCAGAUCUCUCAGUGAGAGAACGUUUUGGAGAGGGUGAUCACAAUUCUAUCUCCUUUACCAUAGCAUUGGAGACGGGUAGGAACAGACAAGUUAAGAAAGCUUUUAACUGGUGUAAGGGGAAAUAUGAAGCUGUCAGGCAGGAACUUGGGGGCAUAAAUUGGGAACAAAUGUUCUCAGGGAAAUGUACAGCAGAAAUGUGGCAAAUGUUCAGGGGAUAUUUGCAGGGCGUUCUGUAUAGGUACGUACCAAUGAGACAGGGAAAGGAUGGUAGGGUACAAGAAAAUUGUGUACAAAGGCAGUUGGAAAUCUAGUCAAAGGGAAGAGCUUAUGAAAGGUUCAAAAAACUAGGAAAUGAUAGAGAUCUAGAAAAUUAUAAGGCUAGCAGGAAGGAGCUUAAGAAUGAAAUUAGGAGAGCCAGAAGGGGUCAUGAGAAGGCCUUGGCAAGUAGGAUUAAGAAAAAUCCCAAGGCAUCCUACAAGUAUGUGAAGAGCAAGAGGAUAAGAUGUGGGAGAAUAGGACCUAUCAAGUGUGACAGUGGAAAAGUGUGCAUGGAACCGGAGGAGGUAGCAGAGGUUUCAGUAUUCACUGCAGAAAAGGACCAUGGCAAUUGUAGGGCUGACUUACAGUGGACUGAAAAGCUUGAGCAUAUAGACAUUAAAAAAGAGGAUGUGGUGGAGCUUUUGGAAAGCAUCAAGUUGGAUAAGUCACCAGACUAGACUAGAUAUACCCCAGGCUACUGUGGGAAGCGAGGGAGAGGAUUGCUGAGCCUCUGGCGAUGAUCUUUGAAUCAUCAAUGAGAACAGAUUCUCAAUGAGGUUCUGGAGGAUUGCGGAUGUUGUUUCCUUAUUCAAGAAAAAGAGUAGAAAGGAAAUUAUAGAGCAGUGAGGCUUACUUCAGUGGUUGGUAAGUUGAUGGAGAAGAUCCUGUGAGGCAGGAUUUAUGAACAUUUGGAGAGGCAUAAUAACCAUAUAACAAUUACAGCACAGAAACAGGCCAUCUCAGCCCUUCUAGUCCAUGUGGAACGCUUAUUCUCAACUAGUCCCACCGACCUGCACUCAGCCCUCCAUUCCUUUCCUGUCCAUAUACCUAUCCAAUUUUACUUUAAAUGACAAUAUUGAACCUGCCUCUAUCACUUCUACUGGAAGCUCGUUCCACACAGCUACCACUCUGAGUAAAGAAAUUUCCCCUCGUAUUACCCCUAUGCUUUUGUCCCCUAACUCUAAUCUCCCCUACUCUCAAUGGAAAAAGCCUAUCAACCUCAACUCUAUCUAUCCCCCUCAUAGUUCUAAAUACCUCUAUCGUCCCCCCUCAACCUUCUACGCUCCAAAGAAUAAAGACCUAACUUGUUCAACCUUUGUCUGUAACUUGUGUGCUGAAACCCAGGUAACAUUCUAGUAAAUCUCCUCUGUAUUCUAUUUUCCUACAUAUAAUAUGAUUAGGAGUAGUCAGCAUGGCUUUGUCAAAGGCAGGUCAUGCCUUACCAGCCUGAUUGAAUUUUUUGAGGAUAUAACUAAACACAUCGAUGAAGGUAGAGUAGUAGAUGUAGUGUACAUGGACUUCAGGCUUAUUGAGAAAGUAAGGAUGCAUGGGAUCCAAGGGGACAUUGCUUUGUGGAUCUAGAAUUGGCUUGCCCACAGAAGGCAAAGAGUGGUUGUAGAUGGGUCAUAUUCUGCAUGGAGGUUGGUGACCAGUGGUGUGCCUCAGGGAUCUGUUCUGGGACCCCUUCUCUUCAUGAUUUUCAUAAAUGACCUGGAUGAGGAAGUGGAGGGAUGGGUUAGUAAAUGUGCUGAUGACACAAAGGUUGGGGGUGUUGUGGAUAGUGUGGAGGGCUGUCAGAGGUUACAGAGGGACAUUGAUAGGAUUCAAAACUGGACUGAGAAGUGGCAGUUGGCGUUCAACCCAGGGAGACCAGCCUGUCCACAGUACUCCAUGUGCAGUCUCCCCAGGGCCCUGGAGUGUAGGAGCAAGACCUGGAUUGAAAUCCUCGCUAUGAAGACCAGCUUGCUGUUUGUGUUCUGAACAAUCUGCAGUUCCCCUGUGCUAAUCUUCGGUGGCUAGUGUACAAGGACAGACGGGUCCCUCUGCGCAUGAACACCGAUCGAUCUCUCACGGCGUUCCACAUGAUGCUCCAACGCUUCCCGAUCUCCUCAGCCACUCCAUCACGCACGUGAACAGCGGGGACUCCAGACACAUCCCAAGACGCUCCAAAUCAGGACAUCCUCACCCCAGUCGAUUGUAACGAACCACAAAGCGAUGCAAAUAGAUUGUCAGCAUGUGUCACCAAGAUCAAACAGGUCAUCAAUGACAGGCAAUUCAAAGAACUUCUAGUGGGACCGGAGAAAAUCACAUGGAAGGCAUUCAAGGGCGUUCAAAAUGUUCUUGGCAACUACAGAGCACCAAAUUACAUGCAACUGACUGACAUCAUGCUUCAAGCACACAAAACCGUGAAGCGCAACAUGUCACAAAAGAUUCAUCUUCUACAUUCCCAUUUAGACUUUUUCCAGCAAACCUUAGGGCUGUUGGUGACAUUGCGGUCACGGAGAAAUGGUAUCAGGCCAACUGGAAUCCAUCAAUGCCGGCUGAUUAUUGUCGGACACUUCAGCGAGAAGCCUCAGAAGUGGAGUACAUCAACAUUUUUAGCUUAGUUGAACUACCGCAAAGCAUUAUGCAGUUAAAUGCAAUAUAUUCAAUAAAAGUUAAUUUCUUGUUUCUCCAAAUUCCUAAGUGACACAAGUAGCCUGAAAUUACAUUGGUGUUCAGCUCCAAGCAGCCUAACAUAAACAAAAUUUUCUAAGGAAGCAACACUUUUGAAAAAACCUGUUGACAAGUAUUAGCAGUCCAGGCAAGGAACCGAAGGCCUCAUUGUCCACCCCAUCUUCAGGCGUGAGCUGUAAAUGAGGGCCUCUGUUGGUUAGGGUCGACCAUGCAUUGCAGGGCAGUACGAUACGGGGAGCCAGCUGUUGCCCACGCGGCAGGAUGCCCAUCUCCCUGCGGCUGAUAAACCCGAAGGAACAGCACAGACCGAUACAGUUUAGCACAGGAGCUGCCAGUCCCCACUGAAUUCCACUUAGGACUGCCUUGGGAACUCCUGCUACAGAAUUACUCCCGAGGCCUUUCCCAUGAGAGGACACAGCCUCAAGGCAGCGGAGGUUUAAGAUGGGAGCUUUCCUUCUCCUAGAUGAGCUGCCAACCACAAUUGACGAGCCCCAUCUGCCCAAAGCGACUGGUUUUGUGGUGCCCGAACCCGCCUUGACCCUUCUCCUGUCAGUAGGAAUGCCUCUGCUGGGCUUAGUAGCUAAGCCGCACAUGAAGACCGGGAGCUAGAUUUGGUUGUCAGAGGCUCUUUGUGACAGACGCCAUGAGAACAUUUAACAGGGAGUGGGAGCUUAUCCAGACUAUUCACCCUGGCAGUGGUCCAUGCUAAUCCAGUGACCGAGCGCCAGCAGACCACAGACACAAGCGCGUCCUGGCAGCUGCCACCAUCUCCAAGCCCUGGCGCAUCGCUUGUGCCCACAGGCAAAUCCACUGAUCAGUUUUAGUCGCAGAAACAGGCCCUUUUGCCCAUCGAAUUGUGCCAUCCUUCAACCACCCGAUGACACUGAUCACUUUUCAUCUGUCCCCCAUUCCCAUCGAUUACCCCACCCAGAUUCUCCCCCCUCGCCCACACAAUUCACCCAUCCAUUACCGCACCCAGAUUCUCCCCCU